AUACGAAGGGGGCUAGCGUUGUUCGGAAUUACUGGGCGUAAAGCGAGCGUAGGUCGCUUGGCAAGUCAGUGGUGAAAUCCCAGAGCUUAACUCUGGAACUGCCAUUGAAACUGCUGGGCUAGAAUCUCAGAGGGGAUAGCGGAAUUCCAAAUGUAGGGGUGAAAUCCGUAGAUAUUUGGAGGAACACCGGUGGCGAAGGCGGCUAUCUGGAUGAGUAUUGACACUGAGGCUCGAAAGCGGU
rnacentral:rRNA from 1 species